rnacentral:rRNA from 1 species
GACGAACGCUGGCGGCGUGCUUAACACAUGCAAGUCGAACGGAGCACCUUUGAAAGAGACUUCGGUCAAUGGAUGAGACUGCUUAGUGGCGGACGGGUGAGUAACGCGUGAGGAACCUGCCUUUCAGAGGGGGACAACAGUUGGAAACGACUGCUAAUACCGCAUAAGCCCACAGCACCGCAUGGUGCAGCGGGAAAGGAGCAAUUCGCUUCAGGAUGGCCUCGCGUCCAAUUAGGUAGAUGGUGAGGUAACGGCCCACCAUGCCGACGAUUGGUAGCCGGACUGAGAGGUUGAACGGCCACAUUGGGACUGAGACACGGCCCAG